CCGGGUGCCACCGCGCAUAACUUGGAGUUCUCAUCACAGACCUGAGCCCGCUGGCAUCCGCUCAGACAUCUGUGCCGUGUGAUAAGAGCGCAUAUCAUGGGAGGAAGACAUCAGAUCGUGUUUGAAUUGUGGCCACCAGACGGAUACACAAAGGGGAGCGAGAACUGCCUAAACAGCACAGUGGUCACCUUUUCCACAUGUGCGCUGUGCUGCUGCUACUCCUGCUGCUGCUGCUGCACUUUUACUUCUUUUCUAAAGGGGAUUACUUCUGCUGUGCUGCAGGAUCGAGUUCAGCAUUGCAAAUGCAGGUUAGACUCAAUUUCAUGAAGUGUCCCACAGCAUUGUUCCAGUUUCACCCUCACAGGUAGUUUAACAAUAGUUGAAAGAAUCCAUACUGAGUGGGCAGAACUGCAAUUUUUCUCAAUAACAGAGGGUCCUCACUUUGUAGCAGAGGUGGGGGCUUUACAACUCGAGACUCGAGACUCAACUUGGACUUGAGUCCCGUUUUUGACUUGUUUGAUCAAAUCAAGAAAUGACUUGGACUCGCUUGGGACUUGAUUGCUAAAGACUUGAGACUUGACUUGACUUCCGCCCAGUGACUUGAAAAGUCAAGUCAAGUCUUUUCAAGUCACUUAAGACCUUACAGCAAGCCCAAAAAAAGUGUCGCAUCAACUAACAGUCAGGAAUUACGGCUGUUGGUAACACCGUGUUGUGUUGCCAAGUCUGCUUAUUUCCCGCAAAAAAAAUUCACUUGUUUUUGGCUUGUUUCUGGAGGUCUGUUUCCUUAUUUCUCUCACGAAACUUGGCAACACUGUCUCAAACUCUAGCCUCCCUCAUAACGACAACACCAGGAGGACUGAACAUAAAUCGCUCGCUAGUAUUGUCCGCCUGUUUCCACGCGUUGCCUCGUGUCUCUCUUUUGUUUUGGAACAGUGAAUUAGAGUAUCAGUUUAAUGUUUAAUUGUAUUUGAGUCUUCCUUAUUUUUGUGCACAUUGUCCAAGUUUCCAAUUAUUGAAGUUUAUCUGAUUAUUUUUUGUAUGACAUGUAAAAUAGUUUGGUUAAAGCUGCACUAUGUAACUUAACACAAACAAGAACCCUUGUUUAAUAAUAAAUGCAAAUAGUGAAAAAUGCUCAUGAUUUAUGUAAAUCUUUACAGAAUUCCUAGGACUUGGUUGGGACUCGAAACAAAAAGUUCAGGGCUUGGACAUGACUUGGGACGUGUCUGUGUUGACUUGGACUUGCCUCGGACUUGAGAGCAAAGACUUGAGACUCGACUUGGACUUGCAACAUAGGGACUUUCCCCCACCUCUGCUUUGUAACCAUAAAGAUGCCACGUGUUUCUUUUUAAACCCCUAAUUUUGGCCUGAAGUUUAGAAUACUGGAUGUGAAUAUAUUCUUAUUAUUAUUAUUUCAAACCUGAGUUGAUCAUUUUCAUACAAAAAAGGCAGAUAUUUGUUGUUUCUACACUUAAGUGUUAAUCUUACUUCCAUUUACACUGAAUAUAAUUAAGAAGGCAUUUGUGUCCAUAACUCUGCUAAUAAAACUUGACUGAGAUACUGGAAAACAGACGAUUUGUCCCAAUUCUUCUGUUUUUUUUUCAGACAGCUUUAAUCGCCAUUAAAAGAGCGCAGGCUUGAGGCGCCAUCAAAAUCAAUCCCACUUUCAAAUCAAAAGCUGUACAUGCGCAGCUUAAAUUUACAGCUUGACCAGUUUCUGCAAAUCAUUACAUUUUUCUUAGUGAGCAAGCAUUUUUCUUUGGCUGAAAAAAAAAAAACGUUUUCAUUCAGAUGAAUUAUGUUUCAAUGCAACAAGUGAGAUUAAAUGAGAUACCUCAUUCUGUCUGUGAAUCUAUAUUCCUCUCGGUUUUGUGAGCAGAGCGCUCAUUUUAUCGAGCCUUAUCCUGCUAAUGUAAAGAGUUGGUGAGGCGUAAGAAUAAACUACUCAUUCUUCCACAUCAUGUCCAUCACGAUAGUUUUUUUCCUGCUCAUUUCUCAAAGAGCUAAUUGACAAAAAGUGAUAUCUUAAGCUUUGUUUACUGCUCAGCUAUGAGUAUAAUGCUUAUGAGCUAGCUAGAUAAUGAUUACUGCUCCUGCGCAUAUCAAGUAGGUGAUUCAUUUCCCCCAGAAUGAAAUGUGUGUCUAUCCAGGCAGCAUCACUGACUCUCAUUACUGUUAAAGGUGCUGAUACGGAU